UACAGAGGGUGCAAGCGUUGUUCGGAAUUAUUGGGCGUAAAGCGCGUGUAGGCGGCUUUGCAAGUCGGGUGUGAAAUCCCUCGGCUCAACCGAGGAAGUGCGCCCGAAACUGCAGAGCUUGAGUACUGGAGAGGAUGGUGGAAUUCCCCAAGUAGAGGUGAAAUUCGUAGAUAUGGGGAGGAACACCGGUGGCGAAGGCGACCAUCUGGACAGAUACUGACGCUGAGACGCGAAAGCGUGGGGAGCAAACAGGAUUAAGAUGACCCCUG
rnacentral:rRNA from 1 species